UUCAUUGCUAGCCCUUAAGAGGAUAGGAAGAGAGAGAGAGAGAGAGGAGUGGGAAGUUGGUUCAUAUUGUGGUCCAGUGCUGCCCCUGGCCCUGGCCCAAGGCGACCAAGGUGGUCGCCUUUGGCCUCAAAUUUUAGAGAGCCUCAAAUUUUGUGGCCCAUAGGGGAUGGAAAAAAAAUAAAAAUUAAAAUUAAGUUAGGGCAAGUUUCAGACGGCACAACCUGCUUCGAAACUCCGCAGGGCACAGCCUCCGCUAUCGCCUCAGGUGACAAGGCCUCACAUUUGAAAGUUCACCUAGGGCCUCUCAAAAUAAUUGGAAUCUUAGGGCCGGCCCUGUUGUGGUCUCGCUCGCUCAGGAGGUGGAGGAAAGAUAGAGAUCUUCACAGUUCGGAAGCCGAAACUGGUGAAGCAGUAAGGAAGGAACGAAGGGCACGGAAAAGGAAAACCCUAACCUCAAUCCUCGUGUAAGGUGAAGAAAGAAGGAAGAGAGCGCAGGGGCAAGGAGGAGAAGAGAAUAUCUCUUCACUGUCUAACUAUAAUGGUUAGGGUGGUGGCGGUUCUGAGCCUUUAAGAGGCAUGUCUCCUUAAUCAUCAGGUUUACUCCAGGGAAAAGAGCUCACUGAAACGAGUGGAAUCGGAAAAUAGAAUCGUUCAUCACGCCGUGUUUGGUCAUUACAUCAGAACAUGGAUGUUUCCAAACUUCAACACAAUUAUAAGUUCAACAUCUUUUUGUGAUUUUCUUUCUCUAGCCCUGGCAUAAUUCCCAAUUUGUGUUUGAUCAUUAAAUGGCAGACUUCGUCAAGAUUUUACAAACGGUUCUGUGAACAAGGGUUGAACAAAAGUUUAAGAAAAGAAGUAGAGUCCCUCAAGGGAAAAGAGGUACGGUGUAUUCGAAUAUGCUUAAGGAAUGUAUUCGCGUUUUGGACAAAUCUAUUGGGUCAACGCUGAAACAUCUUGUGGUAGUUUUAAUUUGGAUAGCUCCACCCAAUGGAUGGUACAAGCUGAAUAUUAAAGUCUUUGUAAACAAAGAGACUGAUGGUACCAUAAAAGGAAGUGCUGGAGGAGUCCUUCGAAAUCAUUUAGGACUUGUUACAACAGUGCAUUUGAUUUCUAUUCCAAAUCUGGCUUCUAGAAAUGAAGUAUUAUUAGUUGGCAUUUGUCCUAUUUUGAUGGAAGUGUUGCAACAUGGCACGUACCUGGAGAAUAUAAUAUUGGAGGGUUCUGAUAAGAAUGUUUUUGAAGUGCUAAGGCGUAACAAGCAUGUACCACAAGAGUAUUCCCAACUUUAUAGGGAUAUUUUUGAUUUGCUAGCCCUAUUCAACAAGUAUAUGGUAGAGUUUGUACAUCCGACAGGCAAUGAAGUUGCCAAUCGAUUGGCAUAUUCAGUUAUACAACCGAAAGUUGAUUUAGAAUAUGAUAAACGGUAUGAUCAACGACUCAAAGAUGAUGAUAUUCAGAAGAAAAUACGAUUUCAUGUGCCUGGUUACUGCCUAGAAAGAUUGCAAGUCGUCGAUGACCCUGAGAGUCUCGCAACCAUGUAUGAAAAUCGCUACUUGGAGAUGACCAUUGGGAGUUUAUUGAUAUGAUUUAAUUGUUUGUAUAAAAUCUCUAGAGCACGAUUCUUCUAUUUUCUUCCAACGCUCUGCGAGUGCAAUUCCAUAGUGCAUCAAAUUUGUGCACCAUUCUCUACAAAAAAACGGUAUUUACACCUUUUGUAUAUUUUUUGACAAAAAUGACUUACAGCAAAGGCCUAAAUACUCGUAUAGAUCGUAAUUGUCGUAUUAUCUGCUUGUUGGUAAUAAUAAUCUUUAUCUUUUCUAA